GGGAAGGUCCAGAGGCGGGGCAGGGAUGGACAAAACAGGCUGCCCUUGACUGACAAUGGCAGGUUGGUUGCAAAGCUGACCCUGAUUCUGCACCUCUCCCCACCCACACCCCCUUGGCCAAGUGACUUUGCAGCCUCUCCUCUCAAGACAGAGUCCGUUUCCUCUCCCCUCUUGAUUUGAGCUGGGGAUGUGGGAAGCGAUGUUAUUAGCCGGCUGGAGGAGGAGAGACAAUACGGAACCCAGCUGAAUCAUUCCGGCGGAGACCGAGUCCAGCCAGCCAGCCAGCCAGCCCCCAGCGGACUCACCAGAGGAUGCACAGAGGUCAGCUAAGCCCGGCUCAAAUCAGCAGAACCUUCCAGCUGAGCCACGGAUUCACGAGUCAUACCAGAAGCCUGGGGAUGCUCGUUACGCAGCAGGAGAUGUCGGGAGAGCCAAACUGAGCCCAGCAGCUGGUCCAGAAUCUUCUCCACACCAGCUCCCUCCACCGAGCCGGGCCACGUGAGCCCCGCUUGAGCAACAACCCAACGUUCUCGGGUCACAUUCGCUGGACCCCUUUUACGUCCCUUCUGAUCUGCUGAAGCGCUUCCUUUUCGCGCCCACAAUCCUGGCCGUGUCAGGAUGGGGACCUGCCGCAGCUCUGAAAUCCUAGACCCCGGCGUCCGCCAGGGGUCCCCUGUUCUCCUCAUUGCUUCGGCUUCUUCCUCUGUGGGUCUUUGAUCUGCCCACCCGGAGACCCUCCGAGCCCCAGAACCCCUUCCGGUCGUGACUGCGCUUUGAACAGCCCUCUCCGUGUCCGUCCCUUGUAGUCCAGCGUUCUCGCAGCUGUGAGCACGCCGUUCCCGAGCACAAACGCGGAUCUCUGAAGACGUAUGACCACCAAUGUGUGCCUGUGGUCCCUUGUAAGGGGCCUGCCCCCCGUUCCCACCCUCUCCCUCUCCCCUUCCCCACCCGGCUGUGGUUACUCUGACGACACGCCGGUCCCCGGGUGGGUCGGGCUUCCCCGCUGCUUCUCACAUUUGCACAAGCUGGCCCCUCACCCAGUUCCCUCCCCCCACUUUGUCAUGGGGUGUGUGCCCGCCUCUCAGCAAACACCGCCUUUUCUGGGAAGCCUUUUCUGAUAUCGCCAAGCAGCACUAGAAUCCCCUAAUCAGAGUUGUCCAUGCGUCUGCAUUAUAGUACUGGUCAUAUUGAUUUGUCCCUGCUCUUUACUUGUGGGUCUCCCCCAUUAUGCAGACUGUGAGCACCCUGAGGGCACGGCGACUGCUUCCAGCCAUUCAGACCCUAACACGGCAUCCAACAGAGGGUAACGACUUAUCUAAAUGAAAAGGCAGCAAACUGCGAGCCACAGGCCAAACCCAGCCUGUCCCCUGCCUAUUUUGUAUGGCGUGAGGUGCAUUU